GAUCAUGGCUCAGGAUGAACGCUGGCGGCGUGCUUAACACAUGCAAGUCGAACGAAGCACCUUAGACAGAAGCCUUCGGGCGGAAGACUUUGGUGACUUAGUGGCGGACGGGUGAGUAACGCGUGGGUAACCUGCCCUGUACUGGGGGACAACAGCUGGAAACGACUGCUAAUACCGCAUAAGCGCACAGCAUCGCAUGAUGCAGUGUGAAAAACUCCGGUGGUACAGGAUGGACCCG
rnacentral:rRNA from 1 species